rnacentral:rRNA from 1 species
UACGAAGGGGGCUAGCGUUGCUCGGAAUCACUGGGCGUAAAGCGCACGUAGGCGGAUUUCUAAGUCAGGGGUGAAAUCCUGGAGCUCAACUCCAGAACUGCCUUUGAUACUGGGAAUCUCGAGUCCGGGAGAGGUGAGUGGAACUGCGAGUGUAGAGGUGAAAUUCGUAGAUAUCGGGAGGAACACCGGUGGCGAAGGCGGCGACCUGGGUCGAGACUGACGCUGAGGCGCGAAAGCGUGGGGAGCAAACAGG